rnacentral:rRNA from 1 species
UACGUAGGGGGCGAGCGUUGUCCGGAUUUAUUGGGCGUAAAGAGCGUGUAGGCGGCCAGGUAGGUCUGCUGUGAAAACUCGAGGCUCAACCUCGAGACGUCGGCGGAAACCAUCUGGCUAGAGUCCGGAAGAGGAGAGUGGAAUUCCUGGUGUAGCGGUGAAAUGGCGCAGAUAUCAGGAAGAACACCCGUGGCGAAGGCGGCUCUCUGGGACGGUACUGACGCUGAGACGCGAAAGCGUGGGGAGCGAACAGG